CCAUGGUCAAAGUCCAGUAUUUCUGGCAAAGAGCCAAUAAUACCCCUCUGCCCUUGCAUUAGGGCUGUUAACAAUAUACCUUAUAAGUUACAGGCAGGAGCUGUAGAAAAUUCCAAUGCAAACAGCAAAUACACACUUCUGCUAAAUCUGGCACAUCAAAUCAAAAUUAAACAAAUAAAUAAACAAAUUUAUUGUCAAAGAGC
rnacentral:misc_RNA from 1 species